rnacentral:misc_RNA from 1 species
GCUGCCAAUUAAGUCUACAUUCGGUCUGAGUUACAUGGCUUCUGAAUUUUCUUCAACAUAACAAUUAAAAGGGCUUAGAACAUGAACUGAAACAUCUAAGCAACAUUUAGACUNNNNNNAUGAGCAUCUACUCAUAAAUAGUCAGAAUAGUGCUUUUUUUUUUUCCUGAGAGAGGAAGAGGCAUUCUAGCAGCAUUAUCAUAUUAGUUUAUGUGAUGCAUCAAGAAUCAGAAUCAACAAGAAAUUUUUAUUAUGAAAAUCAAUUCACAAAUUCUUUGCA